CGCCUUCCCCGCCCCCUGCGCGCGGCCUAUUUAAGGGGAUCACGCGAGCUUCCCUUCCUUUUCCGUGGGCGCGGCCUUGAGCGGCACUGCGGGCUCUGAGGCGCCGGGGGAGCGGGCGGCAGCGGCGUAGCCGCCGCUUCAGGGCUUCGCUCUUCGGGAGCAAAUGGAGAUGAAUUUGUUUCUGGUUUUGAGGAUCUUCAAUCUGGACUCUGCCAUGCUGUUGCUCUGCAAGCAGAAAGUCAUCACAUGAAUUCUCAGGUGACAGAUGUGAUAUAACAAUCUCCAUUGUCUCCACUUCUAGAAGCAUGGAUGUUUAAGAAGUGGAAAAUAGCAGCCUGAAGUGUGGAGUCCGGUGCACUUGGAAACACUUGCACAACCCUUCCUGCACCUCAGAAAUACUGCUUGAAUUCAGAUGUGGUUCAGGUUCAAACUUAUGACUUAACAUCAUGCUGAAAAAUGAAUUUUAGUAAACCAGAGGAGUCUUGGUGAAAAUGCGUGAAUAAGGCCUGAAUGAAGUCUUGGUGAGAGAAUAUCACUCUUUAGAGUGAAGCGACCCUACGGACACUAUGUCAGAACUUAAGAUGAGUAUUUGUAGAGUUUUUGCAGAAUACUCUGACUUGGUAAAGCUCUAAAGUAAUCCUCUUUUUUUCAAGCUUAUAUGAAAAUUCUUUUAAUAUUUGAUCAGAUACUUGCAAACUUGUCAAUUCAUUGCUUUACUGUUUGAAUGAUAUCCUCAAUGAGAACAAAUGAGUGAAUCUUGUGGAACAAAACCAAAUGAUACUGUCCAGACUCUUCAUAUGCAGAAUGGAUGAGAAGCUUAAUGAACUUUGCUUCCAAGUUGGAAUUACAGCACAGGAAUGAAUUUGACUUGGAUAAAUCAAAACAAAUCCCUUCUCUGGAAAGACAUGAUUCUGUUCAAAGUAGUUAUGUUGCAGCUGUGGCCUUGCCAAGUACUAGCUUUUUGCAAUGCUCGGAAUAAUGGAAAUAGCAUCUCUCUUGCAGUCUACACUGUCUAGCUUCCUUUUCAGUGUAGUAACUUCAUACUAAGUGUACCCCAUAAAUCAAAUUCAGUCGAAUCUGAAUACAUCACUUUCCUGUGUGUUUUAA